UACGGAGGGGGCUAGCGUUGUUCGGAAUUACUGGGCGUAAAGCGCGCGUAGGCGGCUUUGUAAGUUAGAGGUGAAAGCCCGGAGCUCAACUCCGGAACUGCCUUUAAGACUGCAUCGCUAGAAUCAUGGAGAGGUGAGUGGAAUUCCGAGUGUAGAGGUGAAAUUCGUAGAUAUUCGGAAGAACACCAGUGGCGAAGGCGACUCACUGGACCGGCAUUGACGCUGAGGUGCGAAAGCGUGGGGAGCAAACAGG
rnacentral:rRNA from 1 species